AUAGCCUGUAUAUGUAGUAUAUAUAUUAGUUUGCAUUAAUUAUGAAAUCAUAAUCGGCAUUUUCAAGUGAGUGAAGCUAGUGCAGGUAAGAACUGCCGUCAACCAGAUAAUGUACCUCAUUGUCUGUUAAUUAUUGGAGUAAAUUAGCUACUUAAACUGCAUUUAAUCUCUUGCUGAAAAACAAUCAGCUUGACAGUACAUUUUGAUGUUUUGUGGUGCUGAAGGAUUAAAAGUUCACUCUCUUUAGCUGGGGUGUUUAAUAUUAGGUUUCUGGAAUGUGCUGCAAGGUACCAUUUUUAUUUAUGUGGAACAUAAAUCACUCUAACAUCUAUAACUUUUCUGUAAAAGAGGAGAUGUACUUCUAUUUUUUUUUUCCGUGUUGUGUUUUUGUUUUUCUUCUUUGUUGCUGCUGGUGUAUCACAUUUAUUUCUCUUCACUCAUCCUUCCUGUUCUAUGGACCAUGAAAACUCCGAGGACCACAGUAAGAGUAGCUGUCAAGAAAAGCUCUGUGGUAUUUCAGACAUGGUUUCUAAAGGGACCAAGGCUUACAUCACCAUCUGUUUCCUCCUGACUGUGCUAUUGAAUUCCAGGCCAUCUUUGAUACAGCAGGAAGAGUCUAGAAAUCAGGCAAGUUCCACCAAGUUUUGAAAACUCAGUGACUAUGCAUGAAAUGAGUGCUCAUUGGGCAGCGAUGCUGUUGUCAGUGUCUGGUUGUGCUUCCGUGUAGUAGUGGCUCUAAUGCAUUCCCCAACCUGGUUUGUGCUUGCUCCAUUGGCAAAUGGGGCCUGUUAGUGGGAUGAGAGGAGGAGUGCUGGGGGCACAUUCCCUGGGGAAGGGGAAAUUCAGUACUGCUACUAUGGCAGAGGAUGUGCAGUUUGUUGUGGGGUUGCACUGCAGUGAGGAAUACAAACGUAUGAGAAACUGGAUUUUCAUGAUUUCUGCUGGUAUUAGAUGUUAU
rnacentral:lncRNA from 1 species